rnacentral:rRNA from 1 species
UGACGGUACCUAACUAAGAAGCCCCGGCUAACCACGUGCCAGCAGCCGCGGUAAUACGCAGGGGGCAAGCGUUAUCCGGAUUUACUGGGUGUAAAGGGAGCGUAGACGGCGAGGCAAGUCUGAAGUGAAAGCCCGGGGCUCAACUCCGGGACUGCUUUGGAAACUGUUUUGCUAGAGUGCAGGAGAGGUAAGUGGAAUUCCUAGUGUAGCGGUGAAAUGCGUAGAUAUUAGGAGGAACACCAGUGGCGAAGGCGGCUUACUGGACUGUAACUGACGUUGAGGCUCGAAAGCGUGGGGAGCAAACAGGAUUAGAUACCCUG